AAAAAAUCAAGCUACCGUAUAUUUUUCGACAAAUGAUUGGACGAAAAAUUGGACGAAAAAUGUGAAAAAGCUAACGGUACGCCUCCGGCGCGCGGGCGCGCACCGCCCGCUCCGACAAAACGAUAUAGUAAAUCCAGAAGAACUAAGGGGAGGAGGUGGCUGUUAUUAUAUUAUAUAU
ensembl:ncRNA Y66A7AL.3 ncRNA